rnacentral:rRNA from 1 species
UUAAUUGAAGAGUUUGAUCAUGGCUCAGAUUGAACGCUGGCGGCAGGCCUAACACAUGCAAGUCGAGCGGCAGCACAAGGGAGUUUACUCCUGAGGUGGCGAGCGGCGGACGGGUGAGUAAUGCCUAGGGAUCUGCCCAGUCGAGGGGGAUAACAGUUGGAAACGACUGCUAAUACCGCAUACGCCCUACGGGGGAAAGAGGGGGACCUUCGGGCCUC